CCCCCCAUAGCUCAAUUGGUAGAGCAACUCCCUUUUAAGGAGGAGGUUGUAGGUUCGAGACCUACUGGGGGGA
rnacentral:tRNA from 1 species